UAAUUUCUUCCCUUCCAGCCUAUGCUCUCCAUUCCUGCCUAAGAUCCUCCUUCACUUCCUUUUAGCUGCCCUCCCAAACUCUCUCUGGUUUUCUUUUUUCCUUCUCCUUCCCUAUCAACUGAAGGGGAUUGUUCUCCUUAUUCUCUGUUCCCCUGCCCUGGUUUCACUGGCCAUGCAGGAUGAAGUUGGAAAGGAGAAACGGCCUGGAAGGGGGCGUGCAUCGAAGUGAAGCAGGUUGCCCCAGGGCUGCACAGCACAAGGGGUCUCAGCCCUUUCCGUCUUCCUGCCCUCUGCAUCGUUGUGAGAGACAGUGUCAAACUCUCAGUCUUCCCACCAGGACCAGGACCUCCAGGGGUACCAGCUUUGCUGGAGGAGGAGGAGGACGAACUUGGCAGCUACAGUAGCAAGGAUGCUGCUAACCUUGCCUACACAUCUAGCAAGAUGAGAAGGAAUGACAUAGUUAAGUCACGACAUGGUGCAAUGGACUGUCCCCCUCCAGAAUUCGUAUCAAGGAAUCACAUUUUUUGAGGCUCCCCUAUAUGGCAAACUCUGUGCAACUGGAAAAGAUCUGAGGAAAAACUGGAAUAUGGCGCAUUUAUAGAAGGGAAACCAGACGAAGAUGCUCUCGGAGGACAGAGAACACAACAUCUUAUUCAGCAAGACUGAGAAAAAUGGGACAAUUUUGGGCUGGCGACUGC